rnacentral:rRNA from 1 species
GUGGGGAAUCUUGCGCAAUGGGCGAAAGCCUGACGCAGCCAUGCCGCGUGAAUGAUGAAGGUCUUAGGAUUGUAAAAUUCUUUCACCGGGGACGAUAAUGACGGUACCCGGAGAAGAAGCUCCGGCUAACUUCGUGCCAGCAGCCGCGGUAAUACGAAGGGGGCUAGCGUUGCUCGGAAUUACUGGGCGUAAAGGGCGCGUAGGCGGACAGCUUAGUCAGAGGUGAAAGCCCAGGGCUCAACCUUGGAAUUGCCUUUGAUACUGGCUGUCUUGAGUUUGGGAGAGGUGAGUGGAACUCCGAGUGUAGAGGUGAAAUUCGUAGAUAUUCGGAAGAACACCAGUGGCGAAGGCGACUCACUGGCCCAAUACUGACGCUGAGGCGAGAAAGCGUGGGGAGCAAACAGGAUUAGAAACCCUUGUAGUCC